rnacentral:rRNA from 1 species
UACGGGGGGGGCAAGCGUUGUUCGGAAUUACUGGGCGUAAAGGGCUCGUAGGCGGCCAACUAAGUCGGACGUGAAAUCCCCAGGCUCAACCUGGGAACUGCGUCCGAUACUGGAUGGCUUGAAUCCGGGAGAGGGAUGCAGAAUUCCAGGUGUAGCGGUGAAAUGCGUAGAUAUCCGGAGGAACACCAGCGGCGAAGGCGGCUUUCUGGUCCGAUUCUGACGCUGAGGCGCGAAAGCGUGGGGAGCGAUCCGG